rnacentral:rRNA from 1 species
GACGAACGCUGGCGGCGUGCCUAACACAUGCAAGUCGAACGGAAAGGCCCUGCUUUUGUGGGGUGCUCGAGUGGCGAACGGGUGAGUAACACGUGAGUAACCUGCCCUUGACUUUGGGAUAACUUCAGGAAACUGGGGCUAAUACCGGAUAGGAGCUCCUGCUGCAUGGUGGGGGUUGGUAAGUUUCGGCGGUUGGGGAUGGACUCGCGGCUUAUCAGCUUGUUGGUGGGGUAGUGGCUUACCAAGGCUUUGACGGGUAGCCGGCCUGAGAGGGUGACCGGCCACAUUGGGACUGAGAUACGGCCCAGACUCCUACGGGAGGCAGCAGUGGGGAAUAUUGCACAAUGGGCGGAAGCCUGAUGCAGCAACGCCGCGUGCGGGAUGACGGCCUUCGGGUUGUAAACCGCUUUCGCCUGUGACGAAGCGUGAGUGACGGUAAUGGGUAAAGAAGCACCGGCUAACUACGUG